GGAAGUCAUUGUAUCUUUUUUUUAGUCUGCCUGUUUUUGGUCUUUUAGGUCUGACUUUAUUUGUUUAUUUACUUUCUUCCCACAGAAAACGGAAUCCCUCCAUGUUGCAAUCUCUGCUGCAUAAUCUUGUGUUUGACGUCCCUCAACUAUCAGAAAACUCCACAAUGCCGCUCAAGGUCUAAAGAGAAAAUAUAAAAUUAAAUAAUAAUAAAAAAAAGUUUUCUUGCAACAAUUCUACUUAUCACUGUGGUCACUUAUUUAUUUUGCUAAACUGGUUAUUUUUUUAUUUUUCUUUUUCAACUUUUUGAACUUCAUAUUGAAUUGCACACUCAAAAUGUUUGCUUUUCAAUGUCGUCCACAGUCUUACGAUGCAGACCUAUUCAAACUGGCCCUGGGUUGUCUCAGUGCAGCUGCUAAGACCAUUCCUCCUGACCACCUUGACCCGAGCUGCACAGGAGGACGAGAGAGACACUCGGCGAUGGAUUCAGAGAGACGGUUUUGUCCUCGACCCCUGGAGACCUCAAAGUGGGGGCAGUCACCCUCUGCUUGUUCCAUAUGAUGCUCUGAGUGUUAAAGACAAGAGUCGAGUCAGAGACAAAGCUCAAGAUGUUCUCAAGUUCUUCCACAUCAAUGGGUACUCAGUGAGGAGGAACAGAAAGGUGGCAGAUUUCCCAACAAUUGCAAGCUGA
ensembl:lncRNA